UGGGCUUGAUCAACAGUCGUCAAACAAAGGCUCUGCCAAAUCAUCCCACAAGCCCAAACUUGCAGCCACUCUGUCCCUCCUGAGGAGCCGACAGCCGGAGCGGUGCUGGGUCUUCACUGCUGCCCUCGGGCCUUCUCCAGCUACAGCGCGCAGGGGCUACUCUCGAGAGGCAGCGCCUGGGUUUCUCACAGUGGUGGCGUCUCUUACCGCAGAGAACGGCCCCUAGGGGCAUGGCCUGAGUAGCUGUGGCUCAUGGGCAUGUGGGAUCUUCCUGGGCCAGGGGUCGAACCCAUGUUCCCUGCACUGGCAGGUAGACUCUCAAGCACGGGACCACCGGGGAAGUCCCCCACAUUAAGACUUUUUUUAAAAGAUGCAUUGCAACAUAGAAUGUGAAGCUGCUGCAGAAAACGGUUUGGUAGCUCCUCGAAAAGUUAAACCCAGAAUUGUCAUAUGAUCCAGCGGUUCGGCUCCUAGGUCUUCUCGCCAAAGAACCGAAAGCAGAGAUUCAGGUAUCUGAACACCAGUGUUGACGCCAACAGCAUUCACAACAGCCCAAAGGCAGAAACAACCCCGGCGUCCGUCACCAGGUGAAUGGAUGAACAAAAUUACACAUAUGGAACCACGGAACUCAGCCACAAAAAAAGGCAUGAAAUUCUGAUACAUGCUAUAACGUGGAUGAACCCUGAAAACACGGACCACCUGGCUCUGCUCUCUGCGCCCACAGCCACCAUCAACCCAGCUGGGACCCUGAGCAUCCCAAGUCUGCCUCCCUUGAUGCCUCCUGGCUUCCCUGCCCAUCUCCUUUCUGUCCUCUCUCUGUGCCGCCUACAGAAGAACUCAUCUAAAACACGCCAGGUCACCUCCCAGCUCCUCGGUCUCUCUUUUUUCCUGCAUCAGCUGUCACCACACUCGGUGAGCAUCGGGGUCACUUGCAGGGCUUGUCAGCACACACUGGGUUUCACCCCCAACACGACUGCCUCAGGGACUGCAGAGCAGCCAUCUGCACCUCUCCUCUGUCCUCACAGACAAGGCCUGUCCAGCUUUCAAGACCCGGCUCAGGGUCCUCUUUGCCAGGAGGCGGUCUCUGGAAACUUCAGCCGAUACUGAUCCCUCCCUGCUCUUCCAGGUCAGCCCUACCGCUCAGAGCCCUCUGGAAGAGGAGAGAGCACCAAGUGGCUGUAACGACGGGCAAGGUGGCACUUCAUCACUUGCUGUCUCCCUCCAUCAGACCAGCUCCU
ensembl:lncRNA